rnacentral:rRNA from 1 species
AAAUUGAAGAGUUUGAUCAUGGCUCAGAUUGAACGCUGGCGGCAGGCCUAACACAUGCAAGUCGAGCGGUAGCACAGAGAGCUUGCUGCUCGGUUGAGGAGCGGCGGACGGGUGAGUAAAGUCUGGAAAAGUGCCAGAUG